UACGUAGGGCGCAAGCGUUGUCCGGAAUUAUUGGGCGUAAAGAGCUCGUAGGCGGCUUGUCACGUCGGAUGUGAAAGCCCGGGGCUUAACCCUGGGAUGCCGGUCGAUACUGCCGGACUAGAGUUCGGAAGAGGCGAGUGGAAUUCCCGGUGUAGCGGUGAAAUGCGUAGAGAUCGGGAGGAACAUCAGUGGCGAAGGCGGCCAUCUGGGACAACACUGACGCUGAAGCACGAAAGCGUGGGGAGCAAACAGG
rnacentral:rRNA from 1 species